rnacentral:rRNA from 1 species
GACGAACGCUGGCGGCGUGCCUAAUACAUGCAAGUCGAGCGAAUCUUGAGGUGCUUGCACCUCUUGAUUAGCGGCGGACGGGUGAGUAACACGUGGGCAACCUGCCUGUAAGACUGGGAUAACUUCGGGAAACCGGAGCUAAUACCGGAUAAUUCUUUCCCUCUCAUGAGGGAAAGCUGAAAGACGGUUUCGGCUGUCACUUACAGAUGGGCCCGCGGCGCAUUAGCUAGUUGGUGAGGUAACGGCUCACCAAGGCGACGAUGCGUAGCCGACCUGAGGGGGUGAUCGGCCACACUGGGACUGAGACACGGCCCAGACUCCUACGGGAGGCAGCAGUAGGGAAUCUUCCGCAAUGGACGAAAGUCUGACGGAGCAACGCCGCGUGAGCGAUGAAGGCCUUCGGGUCGUAAAGCUCUGUUGUUAGGGAAGAACAAGUAUCGGAGUAACUGCCGGUACCUUGACGGUACCUAACCAGAAAGCCACGGCUAACUACGUGCCAGCAGCCGCGGUAAAAC